UACGAGGGGGGCAAGCGUUGUUCGGAAUCACUGGGCGUAAAGGGCGCGUAGGCGGCUCAUGAAGGCUGUGGUGAAAGUCCGGGGCUCAACCUCGGAUCGGCCGUGGCGACUCGUGGGCUGGAGCACUGUAGAGGCGGGUGGAAUUCCGGGUGUAGCGGUGGAAUGCGUAGAGAUCCGGAAGAACACCAGUGGCGAAGGCGGCGACCUGGGCCAAUAUUGACGCUGAGGUGCAAAAGCGUGGGGAGCAAACAGG
rnacentral:rRNA from 1 species